CUUGCCACUAGAGGUGUUGCAGGUGUGGCUGCUGUGUCCUAAGUGUGUCAGUAGGUGGCAGAGAGGAGAGAGGCUAUGUUCAGUGCUCUGACCUGUGAACAUCUAAAUGAUUGGUAGUAAUCAUU
rnacentral:snoRNA from 1 species